GCAUCGUUAGCUCUGUUGGUGAUUGAAUUUACUACCUUCAUAUUUGGACUAACAAUGUUCGCUCCUUUCGUGUCUCUUACGUCUAUCACCGGACACGGAUUCGCUACAAUCAUUUUAAAAUUCGUCGUGAUCGACAGUUUACGUUGUGACUGGUUCUGGCCUGUCUUCUAUUUCUGUUCUGUGGUGCCAUUCACCCUGGACAUAACCACUGCUCUCAUAAAUCUAUGUUCUAGCUUAAAAUACGCCAAUAAAUUCCCUUUUCUAAAUAGAUUACAAUAGUA